UACGUAGGUGGCAAGCGUUGUCCGGAAUUAUUGGGCGUAAAGCGCGCGCAGGCGGUCCUUUAAGUCUGAUGUGAAAGCCCACGGCUCAACUGUGGAGGGUCAUUGGAAACUGGGGGACUUGAGUGCAGAAGAGGAGAGUGGAAUUCCACGUGUAGCGGUGAAAUGCGUAGAGAUGUGGAGGAACACCAGUGGCGAAGGCGACUCUCUGGUCUGUAACUGACGCUGAGGCGCGAAAGCGUGGGGAGCAAACAGG
rnacentral:rRNA from 1 species